GUUCAGCUGACGAGUCGCAAACUGGACAAAACGCGCCUCCUGAAU
rfam:Schistosoma margrebowiei strain Zambia genome assembly, scaffold: SMRZ_scaffold0001124